AGAGUUAGCUGGACAGUCGCUGUUUUACCAUCCGGUAAAAUGGAGGAAAGUCCGGGCUCCAUUGGGCAAGGUGCCAGGUAACCCCUGGGGGGCGCGAGCCCACGGAAAGUGCCACAGAAAAUAAACCGCCGGCUUAGGCCGGUAAGGGUGAAAAGGUGCGGUAAGAGCGCACCGCGCGAUUGGUAACAAAAGCGGCACGGCAAACCCUGCCUGGAGCAAGAUCAAAUAGAGGAACCAAGGCGUGGCCCGCGCCGUUCCCGGGUAGAUUGCUUGAGCUGCAAGGCGACUUGCGGCCUAGAUGAAUGACUGUUCUCGACAGAACCCGGCUUAUAGGCUAACUCUUUCA
rnacentral:RNase_P_RNA from 2 species